UUUUCGCUUACAUGGGCAGCCACAAAAACAAAGUUCAAGCCCAUAUAAGGUUUUAGGAACCCCCCUCUAAACAGAUUUCAAUUUCAUGGCCGUGUGUAGGAUGAAGAUUCUGCUCACGCUUUACCAAAUGGAGAAGUAGAUCAAAGACUCAGCAAAAACCCAGUAGCCACCAACUCAUCUCUUCCCGGAAUCAAUAGUUUAUGUGAUCAGUCAUGAACCAAUAAACUAAUGGAUACGCAAAAAUGGAAACAGAGAGAGCUCGUUCUUAUACUCUUCUACGCCUAUGUUCUACAGAUAUCGCUUCGUCUCUCUCACGGUUGCAUGAACUAUUCGUUCCAACUUCUCAUGUGGUGGAUUGUUUCGUUUGCAAUCAGGAAGCUUCUUUCAUGGGCAUGGUUAACAUCUUUAUUCUUCAUGCCCGAAUUGUUACUGAAUUCAGCAUCCAGUGCAUUUAAGGUAACAUGAUAAGUACUGCGCAGGUUAAGAAUGAUUUUGGAGAAUUCCUCCCUCGUGAAUUCAAAGCGUUGUCUGGUGCUGUCACAAUCACAUGCCUCAUGGUACAUAGCUUUUGCUCAAUACUCCUGGUUUUAUUAGUGUGGUUGCCUUCAUGCAAACGAAUACAUCGAUGGCUGAAAAAUAAGACUUAAGUAUCACAAUUACAGAUGGCAAAUCUUGCUGGCUAUGUCAUUGGACCGUCAGGUCUAAACUGGUUCGUAUCCAGCUUUCUUAGGAACCAUGAACUUUCUCAUCUGUCAUGUCCUCAAAAUUCCACAUUCAUCAAUGACAAUGAUACAGGGAAUGCAACUAAGUCACGUCAUCAAGACUCAUCAGAGAGAGAGAGAGCAAUAGGAAGUAGUAUAAAAGCAGAGUUCGUUUACAUUUUUACUUCAUCGAAAAAGAUCAAAAGUUUGUUAGAGUUUUCUUCUUCCUUUUCUCUGUGGUUACUAUGAUUUUUCUGUGAAUUUUCUGGGAAAUUCCCUCAAUUGAUGUUCUAGAACUGUUUCUUUUUCUAAGUUCUUCACACAUUGAGAGUUGGUUUGGCGUUUUACGAACGUGAUUCCAAAGUUACUAUUCAUCAUCUUCUCCAAUACAGAUUCUCUGUAUCAGACAAGUAAACAUAUCUUGGCUUCUGCAUUCAAUCGAUGUAUCAAGUCUUGCCAAAGUGUGUGUACAUUAGAUAGCACUCUAUCACGGGCAAUUAUGUGUAAGCUGAACUCUCGUCUUCAAGGCACCUACGUGAUGACAAGAGAGCAACGUUGAAAAGACCAAGCCUCUUUGAGGCGUUUAUUGACGAAUCAGGGUGAAAAAUCCAUGCAAGAACAAGUUUCGGAAAGAAAGAGGGCAUGACCGUUGAUGAUUGAGUUCCUGACCGGUUUUGAUGAGUUUAGAUGCCUUGGUGGAGAAAAGAAAAAAGU